ACCUCAGGUGUUACUAUAGUGAAAAAACAUUUUGUAAGUGAUUUUUACCUCAAGCCUUUUGUAGGAGGAAAAAUGGUGACACAUGUUCUAAAAAAAUUAUUUUUCAGAAGAACUUCCAUGGUUUCUGAGUAUAUAUGGGCUGAGGCUUGUCUGGGUAGAGCUGGGAAGAACUGUUAGGAAGAACAUUGUAAAGUCUAAGACAGGGCCUCCCUUAAGGCCCCAGCACUCCAGGAGCCAACACAGCAAGGGACCAACAUGGAGAACAAUUGAGGCACAUUCAAUGAUUCCACGGGGAUUGAACCCAUGACC
rnacentral:lncRNA from 1 species